UAUUAAUGUGGAUACAGUGACAGUGUUAAUUUACACAGUGAUGCUGUAACAAGCUUUGCAUGUAAUGUCUGCCUGUCUUUUCUAAAUAGGCACAGACGCUGGCGGACAAUACAACGUACAUUCAGUUACAUAAAGUUCUAAGUUAACACUCUGUUCCUCAACCACAAAAGCAUGUACCUAAUGGCAUUCUCUGAUCUAGCUCAAAUUACAUCCAGCAGUAUACAGUAAAUUGCGGAACACAUUUUUAGCAAGAUACAAGAGCUGACAGCAAUUCUCUUCCAUUCUCCUUCUUUUGGCAGACAACUAAUAGCAGGCAUCCAUAUUCAAAAACAACUGAAGUCAAAAAAAUACUAUUAAGAAUGACAUUUUGUAGCUGAAAUUCAGACCUUUGGCUCUUAUUGUUUUGUGGUCUCUGUUGGACAUCUCAAUUGAACUGCAACUCAAAUGACUGUCAUCCAACAAGGUGGAGUCUGAGACUUGAAAUCAAAGGGUUUAAGCACAACCUACUGACCAAUCUUGCCCUAAUUCAGUGCAGAUCUCUCUAUGCCUUUACACAUUGGGCAGGGAAUAAAAUUGUUGCGUUUACUUUGAGACUGAAAAUGGACCAAUUUAGCAAACUGAAUGUAAAAAGUCUUCUUGUGAUGUAGAAAUUGUUAUUACUGUAAAGAUGAAUGUAACGGUAAGUUAUAGUUAUUAUCCACCUGACUGAUGGCAAGAACAAUAAAAUGUGACCCAAUGACUCUACAAUAAGACAAGCAAUAUUGAAAAGCAAUGUUUUGUUAUAUGCAAAAACAGAAAAGAUAAUAUAUACUGAGCCAAACCUUUUUCGUAGGACACUUUGCCACUUUCUACCACUA